AAAUUGAAGAGUUUGAUCAUGGCUCAGAUUGAACGCUGGCGGCAGGCCUAACACAUGCAAGUCGAACGGUAACAGGAAGCAGCUUGCUGCUUCGCUGACGAGUGGCGGACGGGUGAGUAAUGUCUGGGAAACUGCCUGAUGGAGGGGGAUAACUACUGGAAACGGUAGCUAAUACCGCAUAAUGUCGCAAGACCAAAGAGGGGGACCUUCGGGCCUCUUGCCAUCGGAUGUGCCCAGAUGGGAUUAGCUUGUUGGUGGGGUAACGGCUCACCAAGGCGACGAUCCCUAGCUGGUCUGAGAGGAUGACCAGCCACACUGGAACUGAGACACGGUCCAGACUCCUACGGGAGGCAGCAGUGGGGAAUAUUGCACAAUGGGCGCAAGCCUGAUGCAGCCAUGCCGCGUGUAUGAAGAAGGCCUUCGGGUUGUAAAGUACUUUCAGCGGGGAGGAAGGGAGUAAAGUUAAUACCUUUGCUCAUUGACGUUACCCGCAGAAGAAGCACCGGCUAACUCCGUGCCAGCAGCCGCGGUAAUACGGAGGGUGCAAGCGUUAAUCGGAAUUACUGGGCGUAAAGCGCACGCAGGCGGUUUGUUAAGUCAGAUGUGAAAUCCCCGGGCUCAACCUGGGAACUGCAUCUGAUACUGGCAAGCUUGAGUCUCGUAGAGGGGGGGUAGAAUUCCAGGUGUAGCGGUGAAAUGCGUAGAGAUCUGGAGGAAUACCGGUGGCGAAGGCGGCCCCCUGGACGAAGACUGACGCUCAGGUGCGAAAGCGUGGGGAGCAAACAGGAUUAGAUACCCUGGUAGUCCACGCCGUAAACGAUGUCGACUUGGAGGUUGUGCCCUUGAGGCGUGGCUUCCGGAGCUAACGCGUUAAGUCGACCGCCUGGGGAGUACGGCCGCAAGGUUAAAACUCAAAUGAAUUGACGGGGGCCCGCACAAGCGGUGGAGCAUGUGGUUUAAUUCGAUGCAACGCGAAGAACCUUACCUGGUCUUGACAUCCACGGAAGUUUUCAGAGAUGAGAAUGUGCCUUCGGGAACCGUGAGACAGGUGCUGCAUGGCUGUCGUCAGCUCGUGUUGUGAAAUGUUGGGUUAAGUCCCGCAACGAGCGCAACCCUUAUCCUUUGUUGCCAGCGGUCCGGCCGGGAACUCAAAGGAGACUGCCAGUGAUAAACUGGAGGAAGGUGGGGAUGACGUCAAGUCAUCAUGGCCCUUACGACCAGGGCUACACACGUGCUACAAUGGCGCAUACAAAGAGAAGCGACCUCGCGAGAGCAAGCGGACCUCAUAAAGUGCGUCGUAGUCCGGAUUGGAGUCUGCAACUCGACUCCAUGAAGUCGGAAUCGCUAGUAAUCGUGGAUCAGAAUGCCACGGUGAAUACGUUCCCGGGCCUUGUACACACCGCCCGUCACACCAUGGGAGUGGGUUGCAAAAGAAGUAGGUAGCUUAACCUUCGGGAGGGCGCUUACCACUUUGUGAUUCAUGACUGGGGUGAAGUCGUAACAAGGUAACCGUAGGGGAACCUGCGGUUGGAUCACCUCCUUA
rnacentral:rRNA from 1 species